rnacentral:rRNA from 1 species
AUUGAACGCUGGCGGCAGGCCUAACACAUGCAAGUCGAGCGGUAGAGAGGUGCUUGCAUCUCUUGAGAGCGGCGGACGGGUGAGUAAUGCCUAGGAAUCUGCCUGGUGUGGGGGAUAACGUUCGGAAACGGACGCCAAUACCGCAUACGUCCUACGGGAGAAAGCGGGGGGAUCUUCGGACCUCGCGCCAUUAGAUGAGCCUAGGUCGGAUUAGCUAGUUGGUGAGGUAAUGGGCUCACCAAGGCGACGAUCCGUAACUGGUCUGAGAGGAUGAUCAGUCACACUGGAACUGAGACACGGUUCCAGACUCCUACGGGAGGCAGCAGUGGGGAAUAUUGGGACAAUGGGCGAAAGCCUGAUCCAGCCAUGCCGCGUGUGUGAAGAAGGUCUUC